GAGCGGAAACGAUGGGAGCUUACUCCCAGCCGUCGAGCGGCGGACGGGUGAGUAACGCGUAGGAAUCAACCCAGUAGCGGGGGAUAGCUCGGGGAAACUCGAAUUAAUACCGCAUACGCCCUACGGGGUAAAGGCCGGGAUCUUCGGACCGGUCGCUAUUGGACGAGCCUGCGUUGGAUUAGCUGGUUGGUGGGGUAAAGGCUCACCAAGGCGACGAUCCAUAGCUGGUCUGAGAGGAUGAUCAGCCACACCGGGACUGAGACACGGCCCGGACUCCUACGGGAGGCAGCAGUGGGGAAUAUUGGACAAUGGGCGCAAGCCUGAUCCAGCCAUGCCGCGUGUGUGAAGAAGGCUUUCGGGUUGUAAAGCACUUUAAGCAGGGAAGAAUGGCUUAUGCUGAAUAAGUAUGAGAUUUGACAUUACCUGCAGAAUAAGCACCGGCUAACUUCGUGCCAGCAGCCGCGGUAAUACGAAGGGUGCAAGCGUUAAUCGGAAUUACUGGGCGUAAAGCGCGCGUAGGCGGCGUGGUCAGUUGGAUGUGAAAGCCCCGAGCUCAACCUGGGAAUUGCAUUCAAUACUGCCAUGCUAGAGUAUA
rnacentral:rRNA from 1 species